AACACAGGGUAAAUUAGGUUACAUUGGAAUGACAGUGUAUUCAUUUGCAAGUCCCCUGACACAGUCAUUUCAACAACUUAGCUUUAGCAUUUACAGUCAGCUCCCAGCUGUAGAGGGAAAUUCAAUGGCCUCAUUAUUGUGUCUGAACUGAACUGUGUCAUGCAGGAGGAAGGGCAAAGACAGAGGCAGAUUGGGGCCUUCCAGUUCAUCUGUACUUUGAGCUGUUUCAGCAGCAUCCUUGGAGUCUGGAGGCAGGAGAGCAUCAGUUCUUCCGUGAGGAAGCUCUGGUGCCUCGGUAAAUCCUAAACGAAUAGCAAUUUGUGCCCUUUGAGGCUCGCAGAAUUCUUUUGAGCUCCUGUUGGAUUCAGGGAUCACAGGGAUCAGCUUGACUCCUGGAAGCAGGAUGUGUUCAUUCAGAGGCAGCAGCUUUGGCAGCCAAAGAGGAUUGUCAGAACCUAUUUUCCUUUUAGCAGCAGGACAUGACUCCUGAAGGCUGUGGCUCCAGGCCCUAAAGGCACAUGCCCAAAAUCCAGCACAUGCUCUCCCCAUGCUAAUUCAUCAGCACUAUUCAGAGAAGGGGAAAAUGAAUGUAGGAAACAGCCACAGAAAGAAGAAGGACUUGGCCAAACAUCAUCCUUGCAGCUGCGUUUCUGCUCCUGGGAGAGCUCUGAUUGGCCAUCCCUUCCAGCAGCAUUUUCAGGAGAGCAAGAUUUGCACAGACUCCCACGUGGCUUUCUUCCUGUGGAGGAAAAGAAAUGGCAGGAACCCCAUUAGGCAAUUUAAAAUUGCCUUCUUAUUUCCCAUUGAAAGGGAAAGACUUUAGGCCAUUUCACAGGAUAAUAAAAUAAUGAACUGCAAUUAGUCAAACCUCCUGAAAAAAAAAAAAAAAAGAAUGCUUCCUAGUUGAUAAUAUUUAUCAGCACAACUGUGUCAUUUAUGUAGAAAGGUGCCUUUCACUGAUUGCUGUGGGUGUGAUUUUGGAUUUCCAUUUAAUAUUAAGGCAAACUGUAUCCAUGUAAACUCUGGGCUGCCACCUUUGUCUUGGAAAUAAAAGAAAAUGUUUAAGACAAAACCAUAAUAAUUGAGUCCAUCAGUAAAUUUUGACACUUGAAACUUUCACUUUUUUCCCCCAUGAAAUUUGUGGAAUUGAUUUUGAUACAAUGUCUAUUCUAUGUAUGGUCAAUUCAAAUUGGGUCUAAGUAGCCGACAUUCUGAGUUUUACUAAUUUCUGAGUAUUGAAAUAUAUCUACAGAUUGCAAAAGGGUGUGAAAUAUUGGGCAAUAAGCAUCAUGUUUCUGGGGGAAUUAAAUAGGUAAAGUCAUCAUUGUUGGUUUCCAUAUACCUCUUGGUUAAUUUGGAGUUUUCCAGAGUCAGGAAAGGAGAAGGAAGAUGAAAGAUAAAAAUGUUUCACAUUGAUCUCUCUAAAUCCAAGGAAGUGAAGGGGAGAAUGGAGAUAACAAGCUCUUAAACCAUAGAAAACAGAACUUUGAUUUUCUUUAAAAGAAAUCUAAGAUGGCUAAAGUUUCCCAUUUGGGGGCCUUCAAGUUUAUAUUGUUCAUUGAAUAAUAAAUGGUCACCUGGUAUUUUUAUCUUAAAACAUUAUUUCUUAUGAAUACUCAGGUCUAAAUACAAUUUAACCUUUGUUCAAUAGACAUUUACUGAGCAUGUUCUAUUUCAAAGAGUAUUUGUUAUAGGCUGUGAGGAUAAAGAAGAUAUGACCUUUCCUAGGCACAUAGGAAGUAGAAUACAGAAAGGUAGACAUAUUUGGUUCAAUAAUGAGGAUACACAUAGUGUACAAUGAAUAAUGUUAGAAAAGACCAUGAAUUUCAUCUAAUUUAAUUUCAGAAGGCUUUAUGAAUUUACAUUUGAGUUAAACCUAAAAUAACGAUCCAAAUUUACAUAAAGUGACAGAAAUUAUAAGUAAAGGUACUUAGUUAUUAAAAUUCAUGCUAGAAAGACUGAUUUAUAGAAUGUAUAGAAACAAUAAGAGAAUAUCUGUGAAAAUAUCAUACUUGUGUGGGUUAGCCAACAAACAUCAGUGAAAUCUAAAUUAGAGCAUAGCACACCUAGUUGUAAAAUGCAUUUGGGGAGACCAUAUGGAUAUGAGGAUAUGAGGAAAAUGGAACGGUUAUGGAUUUUGGAAGGACAUCACUUCAUAUCCUGUCUCUUCCUCUCACAUAUGGAACCAUUUCUUAACCUCUCCAAGCCUCAAAUGUAAGACAUACCUAGUGUACAUCCAAUAAUAAAUGGUUUAUAAUUAAGAUUUUACUGAGAUACUAUGUAAGAAAUAUAUUAAUACAGUGUCUAAUAGUCAAUAAAUGGUAGCUGCUAUUA